rnacentral:rRNA from 1 species
GGGAUCAAGUACAGCCUGUCGGCGGGACAUGAUUCCUUCCGCGGUGUACGCUUAUCGAAGCCUCUGCAGCCACGCAAGUGGUAGGCCCGGGCGACUCUAAACAACCCGGUGCCGCUGCAAGUCCGCGCCCCCUCCCGGGACGUGGGCGACACUUUUGAAUUGACGGGGACACCCUAACGCCGAACGCACCAAGCCGUGCCGGGAAACCGCACGGGGGCCCAUGCGAAAGACAUGGGGGACGGUUACAGACGAUUCGGAUGACCUGCCACGGCAGCGAAAUGGGCAAUCCGCAGCGAAGCCCCUACGGCCUCCUGCCUGCGCGGCGGGAAGGCUACGGGGAACGUUCACAGACUAAGUGGAAGUGGGUGGGAUGCCGAAUCCUGCUUAAGAUAUAGUCGGGCCCCCUGGGAGACCAGGGGGGCAAGUACACUGCUCGUGCGUGUGUAAAGCUGUUCCGUAGGUGAACCUGCGGAAGGAUCAUUA